rnacentral:rRNA from 1 species
UCCUACGGGAGGCAGCAGUGGGGAAUUUUGCGCAAUGGGGGAAACCCUGACGCAGCAACGCCGCGUGGAGGACGAAGGCCCUUGGGUCGUAAACUCCUGUCGAGUGGGACGAUGGGGUGAGGUGUUAAUAACACCUGGCUCUGACUGUACCACCAGAGGAAGCCCCGGCUAACUCCGCGCCAGCAGCCGCGGUAAUACGGAGGGGGCUAGCGUUAUUCGGAAUUACUGGGCGUAAAGGGCGCGUAGGCGGCCUUGUAAGUCGAAGGUGAAAUCCCCGGGCUCAACCUGGGAACUGCCUUCGAUACUGCUUGGCUAGAGUCCGGGAGGGGGUAGCGGAAUUCCCAGUGUAGCGGUGAAAUGCGUAGAUAUUGGGAGGAACACCGGUGGCGAAGGCGGCUACCUGGACCGGUACUGACGCUGAGGCGCGAAAGCGUGGGGAGCAAACAGGAUUAGAUACCCUGGUAGUCCACGCUGUAAACGAUGGAUACUAGGUGUCGCGGGUAUCGACCCCUGCGGUGCCAAAGUUAACGCAUUAAGUAUCCCGCCUGGGGAGUACGGUCGCAAGGCUGAAACUCAAAUGAAUUGACGG